rnacentral:rRNA from 1 species
AGAAUCAACGCUGGCGGCGUGCCUAACACAUGCAAGUCGAACGAGAAAGGGUAGCAAUACCUGAGUAAAGUGGCGCACGGGUGAGUAACACGUGACUAACCUACCUUUUAGUGGGGGAUAACCUAGGGAAACCUGGGCUAAUACCGCAUAAUACCUACGGGUCAAAGCAGCAAUGCGCUGAAUGAGGGGGUCGCGGUCGAUUAGUUAGUUGGCAGGGUAAUGGCCUACCAAGACUGUGAUCGAUAUCCGGCCUGAGAGGGCGCACGGACACACUGGAACUGAAACACGGUCCAGACUCCUACGGGAGGCAGCAGUGGGGAAUUUUGCGCAAUGGGGGAAACCCUGACGCAGCAACGCCGCGUGGAGGAUGAAGUCCCUUGGGACGUAAACUCCUUUCGAUCGGGACGAUAAUGACGGUACCGGAAGAAGAAGCCCCGGCUAACUCGUGCCAGCAGCCGC